UGGGGGAUAUUGCACAAUGGGCGAAAGCCUGAUGCAGCGACGCCGCGUGGGGGAUGAAGGCCUUCGGGUUGUAAACUUCUUUUGCUCUGAACAAGGCGCACCAUGGGGUGUGUUGAGUGUAGGGGUUGAUUAGCGCCGGCUAACUACGUGCCAGCAGCCGCGGUAAUACGUAGGGCGCGAGCGUUGUCCGGAAUUAUUGGGCGUAAAGGGCUUGUAGGUGGCUGGUUGCGUCUGUCGUGAAAGCUCAUGGCUUAACUGUGGGUUUGCGGUGGGUACGGGCUGGCUUGAGUGCAGUAGGGGAGGCUGGAAUUCCUGGUGUAGCGGUGGAAUGCGCAGAUAUCAGGAGGAAUACCGGUGGCGAAGGCGGGUCGCUGGGCUGUUACUGACACUGAGGAGCGAAAGCAUGGGGAGCGAACAGG
rnacentral:rRNA from 1 species